GCUCAGUCCCAGUUCCCAGACUUCUCCAGCCUGUAUCAGGCUGUGGCCUGGAAAGCAAGGGAGUGACCCCAGGGGGCGUUGUGACAGAAGACUGUUGCCUGCUGUCCUUUUCCCAGUUGAGGAACUGUGUCGCCACCCACCUCAUCAGCCCUGUUUUCUAAUUCCAACACAGACUUCUGGAUCCUCCCUGUUCCCUGUCCUAGCUCACCAUGCCCUUGCCCACCACUCUAAGGGAUACUGACACUGCCCAUCACGAGGACCCUGAAUUUACAUGGGUUUUGUAUUUUUUUUUUAAUAAGAUGCACUUUACUUUCUUUUUUUUUUUAAAUAAAGUCCAGCAAAUUAUAGUU
rnacentral:lncRNA from 1 species